UGCUGGCCUUCAGUGACCUUCAGAUCCUCAUGACCUCUCCUGGGAUCCAGCCACUCAACAGCAAGUGGAAGAUGACCUCUCCUCACCACACUAAUUUCCAGUAA
rnacentral:lncRNA from 12 species